rnacentral:lncRNA from 1 species
GAUGAACGCAUUAAGUAUGGGGUCGCGGUUUUGGUCCUUCGCCGGCUUCAGCCUGCUCAUCCUGCUGACCUAAUAUGCGCAGAGCUGGCGACGGGAAAUUGGUAGGCACUUGACGUUUGAUUCCUGGAUUUACAUGUCCCGUGCUAACCUGCAAGUUCCAAGCCUUGCGUGUCACGGCAUAUAUGUCACAAGCCCACGUCGCAAACCCGUCUUUCUAGAAGCAUAUGAGCCGGCUGGGGCCAAGCUGAAGUCACACACGUAGAAUGACCGACACUACAAUCAAACGAGCCCUUCACAUGCCGAUUUUCCUGCGCUCGGGCCUCAGUUCCCGUACAUCCUCGACGUGCCUCACACGGGCCUCCACCCGCGCGUAAGGGAUUAGACGUGACACCGUUUGGGUGUCACGGAGUGCAAUUCUGCAAUCGUCCACCACCACCGAACUUGCCGCGGACCUUGCCGAAGCGUUUUGCAAUAUUUCCUAAUCGAUGGACUACCGCUACCAGACGAAAUAGCCCCAAGUUGCAGGCUCUCGGCCCAAAUCCCAGCACAGAUAAACAUAUCGGGACUCAUACGCGCCUCAACCGAAAGACCGUACGGAGCAUAUUUCCCAUUACUCCACCAGAGAUGGCCACACAGUUACCACAACCGACGCUAAAAACUCCUUAGCUCCACCACUGCGCCGCCACGUCCUCUGACACGCGCUCCAAGCUCUGCGUAGGCUGGGGCCGACUCCCGACCGCCCCCGAGGGGCUCGUCUGAUCCCACAGCAUUACGGGUAUAGGCCGGCCAUCCUGGUGCGGUGGUGACGUCACCGCCAUGCCGUUGGCCGCCGCGGCCUUAGCUUGGCUUACUGCAGGCGCGAAGGCCGACAACAUGGUCUGGCGGGUACCGUCCAGGGGCUCUUCGGUCCGGGCGACAGCUGUGACGGUGGCUGGCGGCCGCGGGGAAGGUUCUUGGGGCCCGGCUUGGAUCGACGUGGGCAUGCCGCUAACAACUUCUUGACGCAGUUCAGGGUCGGCCAGGGUUGCGGCUAUCCUGGGGUCACGGGUGGCCAUGUCGACUGGGUAUGAGGUGCGGCAGGGUGGCUGUUCUUCCCGACGGAAAGGCAGACGGCUGCAGAUGCGUUCACCCGGUUGUUCGGUUGGUCACCUUGCAGGAAAGGGCAAAGCGUCUUGCUGCGGUAAACCUCAAGUUUUCCCGCGCGGCGUUAACUUGUAUAGCUGCUAUGUUCAGCAAUGGAACUUAGGGUUAAGGAUGAGCUUCAAAUUAGUUUUGCAAAGCGAAUGACGAACGAGGCCAGUGGCAAGAUCGUUCCAAGGGUCAAAUAUAAAUCCUUCGUUGGACGAAAACCGGCGUGGCGCCUCGUCAUGAGAAGCUGGCCUCAGGAACAAGGUACAACUGGAAAAAAGGCAUCUGUCGGAUAUCCAGAUACUUCUGCUACGGUUCCCUUGAGGUCCGAUGAAGGCUGCGACGUCAUGAGGCUGCUUGGGCAAGGUAGCGCAGCUAAGCCAUGUGAAGCCACAGGUUGUUGGACCGAACACAAGGGUAGCCAGGGGGGGUUGUUCUAGGUAGUGUUUCAUUUACACUCAUAUCGUACUACGGCAGGCAUUAAAGGCUCUCAUUAUGGGAGUGGUUUGCAUUCUCCGCGACGACUUUUUCCUGUGUGAGUUCGUUUGUUUCGCGGAUUGUGAAAUUGUGGGUUGGUAUUUCGUGCGCUAUGUCG